GAGAUAUGGCUUUGCUGACAUGCCAGGAAUGAGGUGUGAGGAGGCCAAUGAGUCUUUAGCCAAUUAAUUAGAUGCCAAUGAGGAGUUAACUGCUGCAGAGGUAUAGUUUAACAAGUAUUUCAGCAGGUCCUGUGGUCAGAAAGGUGCUUGCCUCCCCCUCCAAGGAUGAAUGUCUGUCAACAAGGUGGUUCAUUGGCAUUCUGCUGUGAAGAUGGAAGAAAUCUGCCUGUAGCGACACAGCACUGGCAAGAUUCUCUAAUAACUGUUCACCAAACAAAGCGAUUUUCUUUAUUUCACCUACAAAUAAAACCCUCAAUGCUUGCAACAAAAUUAUUCCAGUGUAUUAAAUUCCAGUGUAAGGAAAUUGUACAGAGUAGCAGCCCUCUCAUCUCUGGUCAAAAUUUGCUUCAAGUCUUUCCAGUUCCUCUCUUUGGAGACUGACAACAUACUGUUAUAAAAGCUCCUGCUUUUCCAAAAGUCAUCCAAGGUAACGUAGGAGCAAUUGUAACACUGAAUGAUUAUACUGCUACCAAAAUGAAUAAAAAGUCUAAAAUGACAGAAGUACCAAUGACUACAGCUAUUAUUAAACAUUAGAGAGGGUACAUUAUGCUUUAACAUUUUUUGAUCAAUUUUAGCCUAGAAAUCAGCACCACACUAAUCCCCUUCAGAUUAUACACGCAACCCAAAACA